UACGUAGGGGGCAAGCGUUGUCCGGAAUCAUUGGGCGUAAAGCGCGUGUAGGCGGCCAGGUAAGUCCGUUCUGAAAGCCCGGGGCUCAACCCCGGGAGGCGGAUGGAUACUGCUUGGCUCGAGUCCGGAAGAGGUGAGUGGAAUUCCCGGUGUAGCGGUGAAAUGCGCAGAUAUCGGGAGGAACACCAAUGGCGAAGGCAGCUCACUGGGACGGUACUGACGCUGAGACGCGAAAGCGUGGGGAGCGAACAGG
rnacentral:rRNA from 1 species